GACGAACGCUGGCGGCGCGCUUAACACAUGCAAGUCGAACGGAAAGGCCUGCUUUCUCUUGUGGAUUGCGGGUACUCGAGUGGCGAACGGGUGAGUAACACGUGAGUGAUCUGCCCCCAACUUGGGUAUAAGCCUGGGAAACUGGGUCUAAUUCCCGAUAGGACUGCAGGGUGGUGCCUGUGGUGGAAAACGAUUUUCUAGUGGUUGGGGAUGAGCUCGCGGCCUAUCAGCUUGUUGGUGGGGUAAUGGCCUACCAAGGCGGCGACGGGUAGCCGGCCUGAGAGGGUGGACGGCCACAUUGGGACUGAGAUACGGCCCAGACUCCUACGGGAGGCAGCAGUGGGGAAUAUUGCACAAUGGGCGGAAGCCUGAUGCAGCGACGCCGCGUGGGGGAUGACGGCCUUCGGGUUGUAAACUCCUUUCGACCGCGAGGAAGCCACCUGGUUGGAAGGGUGGUGACGGUAGUGGUAGAAGAAGCACCGGCUAACUACGUG
rnacentral:rRNA from 1 species